UACGGAGGGUGCAAGCGUUAUCCGGAUUCACUGGGUUUAAAGGGUGCGUAGGUGGGUUGGUAAGUCAGUGGUGAAAUCUCCGUGCUUAACAUGGAAACUGCCAUUGAUACUACUGAUCUUGAAUUUUCGGGAGGUAAGCGGAAUAUGUCAUGUAGCGGUGAAAUGCUUAGAUAUGACAUAGAACACCAAUUGCGAAGGCAGCUUACUACAGGAAUAUUGACACUGAUGCACGAAAGCGUGGGGGAUCAAACAGG
rnacentral:rRNA from 1 species